rnacentral:rRNA from 1 species
GACGAACGCUGGCGGCGUGCUUAACACAUGCAAGUCGAACGGAAAGGCCCUGCUUUUGUGGGGUGCUCGAGUGGCGAACGGGUGAGUAACACGUGAGUAACCUGCCCUUGACUUUGGGAUAACUUCAGGAAACUGGGGCUAAUACCGGAUAGGAGCUCCUGCUGCCUGGUGGGGGUUGGAAAGUUUCGGCGGUUGGGGAUGGACUCGCGGCUUAUCAGCUUGUUGGUGGGGUAGUGGCUUACCAAGGCUUUGGCGGGUAGCCGGCCUGGGAGGGUGGCCGGCCACAUUGGGACUGAGAUACGGCCCGGACUCCUACGGGAGGCAGCAGUGGGGAAUAUUGCACAAUGGUCGGAAGCCGGAUGCAGCAACGCCGCGUGCUGGAUGACGGCCUUCUGGUUGUAAACCGCUUUCGCCUGUGCCGAAGCGUGAGUGACGGUAAUGGGUAAAGAAGCACCGGCUAACUACGUG